rnacentral:lncRNA from 1 species
GUGAGCUGUGUGACACAGAAUCUGCAGAGGUGGGGAAGGCCAUGGCCAAGGCUCUGUCAUUUUGAUAGAGUUUUGGAAAAGAUGUCUCUUGUCUCUGCUAUUCUUGGGAAAGUGAUGUGUGAAAUGAAAGCAAAACAGUAUAUCGGUAAAAUAGGCACUCUCCACAGGGGUUUGAAAGCCACCUUAGUAGAUAAUGUAACAACAAUGUGGCACAGUACAUAAUCUAAAGCAAGGAAAAGCACUUACAUUUGCCUCUGUGGAAGCAACCAACAAGGCCGUGGGAAAAUGAAUAGCACAAGGCAGACACACAAACCCCUGGGAAA